UCCGGGGUAGCUCAGUGGUAGAGCGGUUGGCUCUAGGUCCGACUGGACGCAGGUUCGAGCCCUGCCCCCGGAU
rnacentral:tRNA from 1 species